rnacentral:rRNA from 1 species
UACAGAGGUCUCAAGCGUUGUUCGGAUUCAUUGGGCGUAAAGGGUGCGUAGGCGGCGUGGUAAGUCGGGUGUGAAAUCUCGGAGCUUAACUCCGAAACUGCAUUCGAUACUGCCGUGCUUGAGGACUGGAGAGGAGACUGGAAUUUACGGUGUAGCGGUGAAAUGCGUAGAUAUCGUAAGGAAGACCAGUGGCGAAGGCCGGGGUCUCCUGGACAGUUCCUGACGCUGAGGCACGAAGGCCAGGGGGAGCAAACGGG